UACGUAGGGUGCAAGCGUUGUUCGGAAUCAUUGGGCGUAAAGCGCGUGUAGGCGGUUUGUUAAGUCGAUUGUGAAAUCCCUGGGCUCAACCGAGGAAGUGCAGUCGAAACUAACAAGCUAGAGGACGGCAGAGGAUGGUGGAAUUCCAAGUGUAGAGGUGAAAUUCGUAGAUAUUUGGAGGAAUACCGGUGGCGAAGGCGGCCAUCUGGACCGGUCCUGACGCUGAGACGCGAAAAGCGUGGGGAGCAAACAGG
rnacentral:rRNA from 1 species